AUUGAACGCUGGCGGCAUGCCUUACACAUGCAAGUCGAACGUGAAAGGGGGGCAACCCCCGAGUAGAGUGGCGGACGGGUGAGUAACACAUCGGAACGUACCCAGUAGUGGGGGACAACCUCGAGAAUCGAGGCUAAUACCGCAUACGACCCACGGGUGAAAGCGGGGGACCGCAAGGCCUCGCGCUAUUGGAGCGGCCGAUGUCCGAUUAGCUUGUUGGCGGGGUAAGAGCCCCACCAAGGCGACGAUCGGUAGCUGGUCUGAGAGGAUGAUCAGCCACACUGGGACUGAGACACGGCCCAGACUCCUACGGGAGGCAGCAGUGGGGAAUCUUGCGCAAUGGGCGAAAGCCUGACGCAGCGACGCCGCGUGAGGGAUGACGGCCUGGUU
rnacentral:rRNA from 1 species